GAGUUUGCUCCUGGCUCAGAUUGAACGCUGGCGGUAUGCUUAACACAUGCAAGUCGAACGGUAACAGGCUUUCGGGCGCUGACGAGUGGCGGACGGGUGAGUAACGCGUAGGAAUCUGCCUCAUAGUGGGGGACAACGUGGGGAAACUCACGCUAAUACCGCAUACGCCCUACGGGGGAAAGGAGGGGAUCUUCGGACCUUUCGCUAUGAGAUGAGCCUGCGUUAGAUUAGCUAGUUGGUAGGGUAAAGGCCUACCAAGGCGACGAUCUAUAGCUGGUCUGAGAGGACGAUCAGCCACACUGGGACUGAGACACGGCCCAGACUCCUACGGGAGGCAGCAGUGGGGAAUAUUGGACAAUGGGCGAAAGCCUGAUCCAGCAAUACCGCGUGUGUGAAGAAGGCCUUAGGGUUGUAAAGCACUUUCAAUUGGGAGGAAAACCUAUCGAUCAAUACCCGGUAGCUUGACAUUACCUUUAGAAGAAGCACCGGCUAACUCCGUGCCAGCAGCCGCGGUAAUACGGAGGGUGCGAGCGUUAAUCGGAAUUACUGGGCGUAAAGCGUGCGUAGGCGGUUCGUUAAGUCAGAUGUGAAAGCCCUGGGCUCAACCUGGGAACUGCAUUUGAAACUGGCGGACUAGAGUUUAGUAGAGGGGAGUGGAAUUUCAGGUGUAGCGGUGAAAUGCGUAGAUAUCUGAAGGAACACCAGUGGCGAAGGCGACUCCCUGGACUAGAACUGACGCUGAGGUACGAAAGCGUGGGUAGCAAACAGGAUUAGAUACCCUGGUAGUCCACGCCGUAAACGAUGUCGACUAGCCGUUGGCCCUAUUUACAGGGUUAGUGGCGCAGCUAACGCAUUAAGUCGACCGCCUGGGGAGUACGGCCGCAAGGUUAAAACUCGAAUGAAUUGACGGGGGCUCGCACAAGC
rnacentral:rRNA from 1 species